rnacentral:lncRNA from 1 species
CACACUUCCUUUUUCUCUCGGUUGUUCAUCAUGGUCUUAUGCUUAGAUAGGUUGUUCCUCAAUUUGACAGGAAAAGAUCAUAAAGUUCAGUUCAAGUCAGUCCCGAUUUUUAGAGAAUAUUUGAACAAGAGAGGAAAAUGAAGCUGAUUUUCUUUCUUCUUGUCCUCUUGAAAAGCGGAAUGAAUUCAACAGAAGGACUCCGUGUGCUUUAUUCAUCAGAGAGAAUUAUUUUAAAAUAUUUCUUUCCACCAUCCCUUCAAAGUCAUGAAAAAUCUUGCUGUAAGCUUAAUCAGUCAGGGUGCGUCCUCUUUGUGAAUAAUAGAGGACAAUUUGCCUCCAUGUUUCGAGGAAGAAUAUUCGUCACAAAUAACAAUGGAGAAUUUGAAGUAAUAAUUACAGAUCUGAGUGUAGUGGAUGCUGGCAUAUACGGAUGUGGUUUCAGUGGGUUCCCUCACACAUAUGAGUAUGUGGAAAUUACCGUUUCUGAUCCAAGUGGAGUAAACACAGCUUCUCUCUCGACAAAAUCCAACAUUAAAACAGCAGUCUGGCCGUCGUCUUCUCCCUCUGCACCCAUUGUUUCUGAGAAUAACGCAGAGACACACAGCAGUGACAGCUGGAGAAUAUCCUACAAUCUAGCUGCUGUUUUCAGCAUUCUGGUGUUUGCUGUCAUCUCAAUGACACUGCUCGUGUAUUGUCUAAAGACCAGGAAGAAAAAAUCCACAGAUAAAAGUGAAAUCUGUGGUUCUCCUAACGCCACCUUGGAGCAGGACGGCAUUAUCUACUCUAUGGUGGAGUUUAAGCCCCACCAGGAUCCAUCUGAACUUUAUGCCAAUUUGCAGAUACACAGCCCAAAAGACGCUAAUGCUUCUUCAAGCUGUACAGUCACAGUAAAGGAAACCGUAGAAUAUUCCACUAUUAUGAGAGCAUCAGCAUAAACAUUUGCAAUGUUUGUGUUCA